AUUGAACGCUGGCGGCAUGCCUUACACAUGCAAGUCGAACGGUAACAGAUCUUCGGAUGCUGACGAGUGGCGAACGGGUGAGUAAUACAUCGGAACGUGCCUAGUAGUGGGGGAUAACUACUCGAAAGAGUGGCUAAUACCGCAUGAGAUCUACGGAUGAAAGCAGGGGAUCGCAAGACCUUGUGCUAUUAGAGCGGCCGGUGGCAGAUUAGGUAGUUGGUGGGAUAAAAGCUUACCAAGCCGACGAUCUGUAGCUGGUCUGAGAGGACGAUCAGCCACACUGGGACUGAGACACGGCCCAGACUCCUACGGGAGGCAGCAGUGGGGAAUUUUGGACAAUGGGCGCAAGCCUGAUCCAGCAAUGCCGCGUGCAGGAUGAAGGCCUUCGGGUUGUAAACUGCUUUUAUACGGAACGAAAAGCCCUGGGUUAAUACCCUGGGGUCAUGACGGUACCGUAAGAAUAAGCACCGGCUAACUACGUGCCAGCCGCCGCAGUAAAAC
rnacentral:rRNA from 1 species